rnacentral:rRNA from 1 species
GACAGAGGGUGCAAACGUUGUUCGGAUUUACUGGGCGUAAAGCGCGUGUAGGCGGCUUGGCAAGUCGGAUGUGAAAGCCCACGGCUCAACCGUGGAAGCGCACCCGAAACGGCCUCGCUCGAGUCUCGGAGAGGAAGGUGGAAUGCUUGGUGUAGAGGUGAAAUUCGUAGAUAUCAAGCGGAACACCGGUGGCGAAGGCGGCCUUCUGGACAGUGACUGACGCUGAGACGCGAAAGCGUGGGGAGCAAACAGG